rnacentral:lncRNA from 1 species
UAGAGUUGAUGUUUCAUGGUUUAGGGUUUAGAGUUGAUGAUUGAGGGUUUAAAGUUGAUGUUUUAAGUUUAGAUUUAGGGUUUAGAGUUUACGUUUAGGGUUUAAAGUUGAUGUUUUAGGGUUUAGGGUUUAAAGUUGAUGUUUCGGAGUUUAGGGUUUAGAGUUGAUGUUUCAUGGUUUAGGGUUUAGAGUUGAUGAUUGAGGGUUUAAAGUUGAUGUUUUAAGUUUAGAUUUAGGGUUUAGAGUUUACGUUUAGGGUUUAAAGUUGAUGUUUUAGGGUUUAGGGUUUAAAGUUGAUGUUUCGGAGUUUAGGGUUUAGAGUUGAUGUUUCAUGGUUUAGGGUUUAGAGUUGAUGAUUUAGGGUUUAGAGUUGAUGUUUUUACCAUAUGAUUUUUUUUUGUCAAAUGUAAUCAAAAGGUUAUAAAUGUCUUUUAGCCUUCAUUAAAAGUGAGGGUAAAAAUGAUUAGUGUAAACAUGAAAAAUGGUAAUUUAAAAAUAGUAUUUUUGGCAAUUUCCCUAUUUAUGUAGCUUCUUGAAUAAGUUUUUGAUCCUUGAGGAUGAGAAACCGGCUAGUAAGUAUUCACUUUUUGUACAUGAUUAUUUACUAGAUAUAUUUACUAUAUUUGGCAGCACAAAGCUGUAUAUAUAUAAUAAUCUAUUUAUGCACAAUAGAUGUGUAU